GACGUAGGGCGCGAGCGUUGUCCGGAUUUAUUGGGCGUAAAGAGCUCGUAGGCGGCUCGUUGCGUCGGCUGUGAAAACCCGCAGCUCAACUGUGGGCCUGCAGCUGAUACGGGCGGGCUGGAGUUCGGUAGGGGAGACUGGAAUUCCUGGUGUAGCGGUGAAAUGCGCAGAUAUCAGGAGGAACACCGGUGGCGAAGGCGGGUCUCUGGGCCGAUACUGACGCUGAGGAGCGAAAGCGUGGGGAGCGAACAGG
rnacentral:rRNA from 1 species